ACAGGCUUGAGCCACCACACCUGGCCAAUUAUUUUAUUAAGCCAGAUGAAUCUAGCUCUGGACAGUUAUAAGCAAAGAAAAACUAACGGAAAAAUACAGAGGCCUGAAGAAUCACAGAGGGAAACUCAUUUGUUCCUCUGGCAGCUCUCCCCAAGGACACCUGUGAGACAAAGUCAGAAGUGGCUUCCCUGGUGACCCAGAGAGACCACAGGGCUCUUGCCGCUGCUUCCUCUACUCCCGUAUUUUGCCGAGCUCUCUAAAUUGUCUCAGCUCUAGCCUGAAUCUAUGGUUUCAUGGAGAGCUCCCUAAAAUCUGUUGACAGAGGAAGAGAAGACUUGAACCUGGUUUACAGAUGGUACUGCACAAUAUGCAGGAACCACAUGAAAGCAGGCAGUUGAAGCACUGCAGCCUCUCUCUGGGACAUCUCCUAAGAAAAAUGAGGGAGCAUCCUCCCAUCCUCCAGGUGGGCAGAGCUACUGGUGGUGCAUCUGUUUUUUCAUAUGAUUGGAAGGAAAAAUGGUCAGAUGUGCAAAUAUACACUGAUUGCCGGGCUGUGGCCCAUGGUUUGGCUGGAUGGCAAAAAUUUUAGAAGAAACGAUUGAAAAAUCGGUGACAUAUAAAUCUGGGCAAAAGAUAUGUGGAUAGAUAUUUUUUCUCUGAAUGGGCAAAAAACAUGAUAAUAUUUGUGUUUCAUGUGAAUGCUUAUCAAAAGCUGACCUUAGAUGAAAAGGAUUUUAAUAAGCAAGUGGACAGGAUAACCCAUUCUGUGGAUACCAGUUAAUGUCUUUUGUCAUCCAACUCUGUCAUCACACAAUGAGCUCAAUGAACAAAGUGGCCAUGGUAGCAGGGAUGGAAAUUAUUCAUUGGUUCAGCAACAUGGACUUUCACUCACCAAGGCUUUUAUGGUUACAGCAACUGCUGAGUGCCCAAUAUGAAAUCAGCUAAGACUAAUAUAGAGUUUCCUUUAGCACACCAUUCUACGGAGUGAUCAGCAAGUUGAUUACACUAGUCAGCUUCCGUUAUGGAAGAGACAGCAUUUUGUUCUUACUGGAAUAGAUACUUACUCUAGAUAUUGAUUUGUGUUUUUUCAGGCAAUGUUUCUGCAAAAACUGCCAUUUGUGUACUUAUAAAAUGCCUUCUCUACCAUUAUGGUAUUCCACACAACAUGGCUUCUGAUCAAAGAAUUCAUAAUACAACAAAAUAAGUGCAACAAUAAGCCCAUGCUCAUGUAACUCAGUGGUCUAAAUUCUAUUGGUUCUGUUUGUCCAAAGAACCCUGAGUAAUACAUCUAGUAAAUGAUUUUUUCAUCACCUGUUAGUAAAGACCACAAGAAGUAGUUUACAAUAUACCUAAACUAUCUGAUAUGGGCUGGAUUGUGUUUUCCCAAAAUUUAUAUGUUGAAGCCCUGAUCCCCCAGUACCUCAGAGUGUG
rnacentral:lncRNA from 1 species